rnacentral:rRNA from 1 species
CAAUAAGCGGAGGAAAAGAAACCAACAGGGAUUGCCCCAGUAACGGCGAGUGAAGCGGCAACAGCUCAAAUUUGAAAUCUGGCCUCGGCCCGAGUUGUAAUUUGUAGAGGAAGCUUCUGGUGCGGUCUGUUCCGAGUCCCCUGGAACGGGGCGCCAUAGAGGGUGAGAGCCCCGUACGGACGGAUACCAAUCCUGUGUGAAGCUCCUUCGACGAGUCGAGUAGUUUGGGAAUGCUGCUCAAAAUGGGAGGUAAAUUCCUUCUAAAGCUAAAUACCGGCCAGAGACCGAUAGCGCACAAGUAGAGUGAUCGAAAGAUGAAAAGCACUUUGAAAAGAGGGUUAAACAGCACGUGAAAUUGUUGAAAGGGAAGCGCUUGUGACCAGACUUGCGCCAGGCUGAUCAUCCGGUGUUCUCACCGGUGCACUCUGCCUGGCUCAGGCCAGCAUCGGUUUCCGCGGGGGGAUAAAGGUCCCGGGAAUGUAGCUCCUCCGGGAGUGUUAUAGCCCGGGGCGCAAUGCCCUCGUGGGGACCGAGGUUCGCGCGUCUGCAAGGAUGCUGGCGUAAUGGUCAUCAGCGACCCGUCUUGAAACACGGACCAAGGAGUCAAGGUUUUGCGCGAGUGUUUGGGUGUUAAACCCGCACGCGUAAUGAAAGUGAACGUAGGUGAGAGCUUCGGCGCAUCAUCGACCGAUCCUGAUGUAUUCGGAUGGAUUUGAGUAGGAGCGUUAAGCCUUGGACCCGAAAGAUGGUGAACUAUGCUUGGAUAGGGUGAAGCCAGAGGAAACUCUGGUGGAGGCUCGCAGCGGUUCUGACGUGCAAAUCGAUCGUCAAAUCUGAGCAUGGGGGCGAAAGACUAAUCGAACCAUCUAGUA